UACAGAGGAGGCAAGCGUUAUCCGGAAUUAUUGGGCGUAAAGCGUCCGUAGGUGGCUAGUCAAGUCUGCGGUCAAAGACUGGGGCUUAACCCUGGAAAGGCCGUGGAAACUGACGAGCUAGAGUGCAGUAGGGGUAGAGGGAAUUCCCGGUGUAGCGGUGAAAUGCGUAGAGCUCGGGAAGAACAUCGGUGGCGAAAGCGCUCUACUGGACUGCAACUGACACUCAGGGACGAAAGCUAGGGGAGCGAAUGGG
rnacentral:rRNA from 1 species